rnacentral:rRNA from 1 species
AGAAGUUAGCGGCGGACGGGUGAGUAACACGUGGGUAACCUGCCCAUAAGACUGGGAUAACUCCGGGAAACCGGGGCUAAUACCGGAUAACAUUUUGAACUGCAUGGUUCGAAAUUGAAAGGCGGCUUCGGCUGUCACUUAUGGAUGGACCCGCGUCGCAUUAGCUAGUUGGUGAGGUAACGGCUCACCAAGGCAACGAUGCGUAGCCGACCUGAGAGGGUGAUCGGCCACACUGGGACUGAGACACGGCCCAGACUCCUACGGGAGGCAGCAGUAGGGAAUCUUCCGCAAUGGACGAAAGUCUGACGGAGCAACGCCGCGUGAGUGAUGAAGGCUUUCGGGUCGUAAAACUCUGUUGUUAGGGAAGAACAAGUGCUAGUUGAAUAAGCUGGCACCUUGACGGUACCUAACCAGAAAGCCACGGCUAACUACGUGCCAGCAGCCGCGGUAAUACGUAGGUGGCAAGCGUUAUCCGGAAUUAUUGGGCGUAAAGCGCGCGCAGGUGGUUUCUUAAGUCUGAUGUGAAAGCCCACGGCUCAACCGUGGAGGGUCAUUGGAAACUGGGAGACUUGAGUGCAGAAGAGGAAAGUGGAAUUCCAUGUGUAGCGGUGAAAUGCGUAGAGAUAUGGAGGAACACCAGUGGCGAAGGCGACUUUCUGGUCUGUAACUGACACUGAGGCGCGAAAGCGUGGGGAGCAAAACAGGAUUAGAUACCCUGGUAGUCCACGCCGUAAACGAUGAGUGCUAAGUGUUAGAGGGUUUCC